CUGAACUCACUGAUUUGAGUUCAGCUUAAGUCAUUUGAUCCUUAAUAAAAUAGUGACCUCUACAGAAAUGAAUUAUAUUUUUGAAGAGUGGUGGACUGAAUUAAAACACCUGUUUGCCUUUUACUCCUGGAAGUAAAAAAAAAAAAAAAAAAAAAAAAAUCAGGGGGUCAAAAACAUAUUAAUGAGCAUAAAAACCUAAUGGACUACCUGCACAACUACUUUGUGUUCUACUUAUUACAGCCCAUGACAGAGUUCGUACGGUCAUGAAAAACCUGGAACAGUCAUGGAAUUUUAAAAAAGCAAAGUUCUAGUAAAGUCAUGGAAAUCUAUUUCACAAAUCUCUGUAUAAUAGAAUUAUAUUUAAUCGGGUCCUGAAUUUCGAUGCGGGAUUGCGCUAUAUCCAGACCUGCCAACCUGUACGCAUUUUGACCUCAAAGUACGCUGAAACGAUUUGUCACUCUAAACUACGCAAAAAUCUAGUGACGCCCCUGUCCACGUGCAGUAUUCAAAACAAGCAACAGAAAAAGAUGUAGAGGUCAACCAAUAAGAGCGUUUUUUUUUUUUUCAUUUAAAUAAAUUCUGUAUUUUAUUUCACUCCUAGUAGCCUAUAGUUUAUAGUUUCAGUUCAAAGCGGCUCGCCCAAGCUGUUUAGAUUUUGUUUUUAGAUUGCAAUGUUACAAUGUAAUGUGAUUUUACCCCUUUUUUGCACAUAAUAUUUGCCUACAUGCUUACAUUAUUCACUGUUUAAUCCAAAUACAAAAUACCGAGAUAUAUAGGCUACCAUAUACAACAAAUCAGCCAAAAAAUACAGAGAUAUGAUUUUUUUCUCAUAUCGCCCAGUCCUAUGCAGAAAUCUACUGGAGUUUUAAUUAAUUUUUUUUCUUAUUUUAAAUAGCAUAAAAAAAAACUAAAUAGUAAAAAUUAACUAAACGGUUACGGUAAACAGUUAAGGUAAACAGUAAAAAAAAGUACACUGUAAACGGUAAAACAGUAAACUGUAUACUCCCUCUCCACAACUCAACCCUCCCAGCCCCCAAAGGUCUGUAUAUCGCUUAGUUUUACUAAUUCCUGGAGCUUUUGACUUUAAAAUGAAGGUGUUACGACCCUGUCUAGUGUAAGGCCGCAACAUAAACUGAAAUCGACAAUCAAAGAUCUUUUAUACAUUUAUCUACAGAACCACAAGUGAAAGCACAACUUCAGAUGGUAAGCAAAGGCCAAAACAACAAAAACACCAAGCUAGCUCCUAACAGAAAAGACUAAAUUCCCUAACAAAAGAAAAAACAAAAUAAAAAUAUAACACAUUGCCUUAAAGGCUGAUUUAUACUUCUGCGUCGGACAUACGCUUUACCCUCUACGCAUAAGGAUGUGCGUAGGUUUUCAUUUAUACUUAUGCGUCGCUGUUGAAGGUGUAACCCACAGUAUCAAGGCAAAAGCCGAAGAAAAAGUUUUUAUCACAGCAGCAGUUUUGGCGGGAAAGAGAAAGCGACUUCUUUUGCAGCUUGAGUGGUUAAAUAUCGAAGAACAUAUUAUUUAUUUAAAACGACUAAAAAGGAGACAACACCGGAACCAUUGCACCAAACAAGACAACAGGAGGGAGAAUUUGUCAUGCUUGUUCGACAAAUGCAGGAGAUAGAUGAACAGAUGCAUUUCUGAUACUUUCACAUGUCUGCAAGUCGAUUCAAUGAUUUGGUUCGUCGUUUACAGCCUUUUAUUUCGCAUCAGUGUACCCAUUGUAUGCCGAUCGAUCUUCGGCAAAGACUGGCAGUGACCCUUCGUAUGUUAGCUUCAGGUGCUAACCAACAGACUGUAGCAACUAGCUACAAACUUGCACCGUGCACAGUGUCCUCGAUUGUUUCAGAGAUCUGUAAAGCACUUUGGAAAGCCCUACAGCCAGAGUUCCUCCCUUGCUGUAAUGUAGUGCAAUGGGAAGCUAUCGCAACUGAUUUUUGCCGCUUGUGGAACUUUCCGAACUGUGUCGGCAGCACAGAAGGAAAAUAUGUUAACAUCAUGGCACCCCCCCUUCAGCUGGUAGCGACUUUUUUAUCUACAAGGGUGCACACUCUAUUGUCCUCUUGGCUACCUGCGAUGCCAGAUACAGAUUCACUAUGGUUGAUGUGGGAGGAUACGGGCGAAAAAGCAAUGGUGGCAUCUUUAAAAAGAGCAAAUUUGGUUCCAUGAUGCUCGAGCAGAAACUGAACCUGCCUCCGCCAGCCAGUCUCCCUGGGACUACUGUCACACUCCCUCAUGUGAUUGUUGGUGAUGCUGCUUUUCCACUACUAAAUAACCUCAGCGCCCCUUUCAAGGUGACCCAAACAUGACGCUGGAAAAGCAGACAUACAACUGCAGGCACUCCAGAACCAGACGUGUGUUUGAAAACAGCUUUGGAAUUUUGGUGGCAAGAUGGAGAAUUCUCGGACGAGCUCUGGAAUUUCAGCCGGACAAAGCUGUUGAUGUUGUGAAGACCUGUGCCAUGCUCCACAACUUUCUCACCUACACAGAUAAAGUAAACACACCUGCAAACCGAUACAUCCCUGCUAAUUUUGCUGACACCGAUGCAUCAGGUGUACCUCAGGCAGGGGAAUGGCGAGGAGUUGUUUCAGAGAAUGGUCAUCUGUUGCAUGCACUCGAUCCAAGCUACCUGUCAUGGUGGCAUUCUUUCAAUCUCCGCAAGGAAUUGUACCAUGGCUGAAUGGCAUUGUUUGUCGUGGAUAACUAAAUGAUGUAUAAUGCUAUGUUGUAUAAUAAAUGAUAUGACACUUCUUA